rnacentral:rRNA from 1 species
UACGUAGGGGGCAAGCGUUGUCCGGAUUCAUUGGGCGUAAAGAGCGUGUAGGCGGCCAGGUAGGUCGGUUGUGAAAACUGGAGGCUCAACCUUCAGACGUCGACCGAAACCAUCUGGCUAGAGUCCGGGAGAGGAGACUGGAAUUCCUGGUGUAGCGGUGGAAUGCGCAGAUAUCAGGAGGAACACCGGUGGCGAAGGCGGGUCUCUGGGCAGUAACUGACGCUGAGGAGCGAAAGCGUGGGGAGCGAACAGG